rnacentral:rRNA from 1 species
CCUACGGGAGGCAGCAGUAGGGAAUAUUGGGCAAUGGGCGAAAGCCUGACCCAGCGACGCCGCGUGAGGGAUGGAGGUCUUCGGAUUGUAAACCUCUUUCAGUAGGGAAGAAGCGAAAGUGACGGUACCUAAAGAAGAAGCACCGGCUAACUAUGUGCCAGCAGCCGCGGUAAUACAUAGGGUGCAAGCGUUGUCCGGAAUUAUUGGGCGUAAAGAGCUCGUAGGUGGUUUGUUACGUCGGUUGUGAAAUUCAGGGGCUCAACCCCUGACUUGCAGCCGAUACGGGCAAGCUAGAGUUUGGUAGGGGAGACUGGAAUUCCUGGUGUAGCGGUGGAAUGCGCAGAUAUCAGGAGGAACACCGAUGGCGAAGGCAGGUCUCUGGGCCAAUACUGACACUGAGGAGCGAAAGCGUGGGGAGCGAACAGGAUUAGAUACCCUGGUAGUCCACGCCGUAAACGGUGGGCGCUAGUUGUGCGAACCUUCCACGGUUUGUGCGACGCAGCUAACGCAUUAAGCGCCCCGCCUGGGGAGUACGAUCGCAAGAUUAAAACUCAAAGGAAUUGACGG